UACCAGCUCUCCGAGUUGUAGGGAUGAUUAUUGGGCUUAAAGCGUCCGUAGCUGGCUUAGCAAGUCUCCUGUUAAAUUCAGCGACCUAAUCGUUGAGCCGCGGGAGAUACUACUAGGCUAGGAGGCGGGAGAGGUCGACGGUACUUUCGGGGUAGGGGUGAAAUCCUAUAAUCCCGGGAGGACCACCAGUGGCGAAGGCUGUCGACUAGAACGCGCUCGACGGUGAGGGACGAAAGCUGGGGGAGCGAACCGGAUUAGAUACCCGGGUAGUCCCAGCUGUAAACUAUGCGGGCUAGGUGUUGGGGUGGCUACGGGCCACCUCAGUGCCGCAGGAAAGCCAUUAAGCCCGCCGCCUGGGGAGUACGGCCGCAAGGCUGAAACUUAAAGGAAUUGGCAGGGGGAGCACCACAAGGCGUGAAGCUUGCGGUUC
rnacentral:rRNA from 1 species